GACGAACGCUGGCGGCGUGCCUAAUACAUGCAAGUCGAGCGAAUUUACGAGAGCUUGCUCUCGUAAAUUAGCGGCGGACGGGUGAGUAACACGUGGGCAACCUGCCUAUAAGACUGGGAUAACUUCGGGAAACCGGAGCUAAUACCGGAUAAUUCACAUCUACUCAUGUAGAUGUGCUGAAAGACGGUUUCGGCUGUCACUUAUAGAUGGGCCCGCGGCGCAUUAGCUAGUUGGUGAGGUAACGGCUCACCAGGGCCACGAUGCGUAGCCGACCUGAGAGGGUGAUCGGCCACACUGGGACUGAGACACGGCCCAGACUCCUACGGGAGGCAGCAGUAGGGAAUCUUCCGCAAUGGACGAAAGCCUGACGGAGCAACGCCGCGUGAGUGAUGAAGGUUUUCGGAUCGUAAAACUCUGUUGUUAGGGAAGAACAAGUACCAGAGUAACUGCUGGUACCUUGACGGUACCUAACCAGAAAGCCACGGCUAACUACGUGCCAGCAGCCGCCGCGG
rnacentral:rRNA from 1 species